GACAGAGGCCUCAAGCGUUAGGCGGAAUCACUGGGCUUAAAGCGUGUGUAGGCGGAUCGUUAAGUGUCUUGUGAAAUCCCACGGCUCACCCGUGGAACUGCUGGGCAUACUGGCGAUCUUGGGCCAACUAGGGGCAACUGGAACAAGCGGUGGAGCGGUGAAAUGCGUAGAUAUCGAGAGGAACACCUGAGGUGAAGACGGGUUGCUGGGCCGACACUGACGCUGACAGCGCGAAAGCCAGGGGAGCAAACGGG
rnacentral:rRNA from 1 species